GAAAGGCAGUGGGACCAAAAGGGAGUUAAUAGAAGCAGUACUCACUAAUCCUUCCCUGUUCUUAAGGAUUCAGAUCAAUCAAGGAGCACAAGUUUCAGGCAAUGCCACGCACUCAAGGCUCUGCUGCAAUGUGGGGACUCUUGACAAUAUUUGUCUGCAUGUAGAGAGAUGGGCAUGAAGAAAAAACAGAUUCCCUAUCAUCAUCUUCUCAGAACAACAAUGUGGAAAGCAGACCAUCUGAGGUACUAGGACAGGUGAAGUGGAUCCGUCUGGCCCUGCUAAAAUUGAACAGAUUCCACUGUGCAGAGCAAAGAAGCACCAUCUACUGCUGCCAAAUCAGAUCAAUUCCUUUGUGCCUUAGGCGAAUGCCUGCUUUGUAAGCAAAGAAGAGAAUCUAUAUUCUAGCAGCCCUUCCGUUCCAAGUACGGAGCCUCAAUCCAUGGAAUAUAACCCAAAGCACAAGGAUCUUCUCUGGAUUUCUCUACUUUGCCCUAUUUGCUUAUGCUGCUGGGGCAUCACAUUUAGGUCGAAGCCAUUCCCUUUAGCAGGCUCAGCACAAAGAAUUUCACACUCCUCCUGGAGGAUGCUUGUUUCCCUCAUACCAGAGGACAGCAAUGCACCUAGGGGGUCUCCAUGCCUGGCCCCAAGCUCAGAGGUUGCUACCACAACCAGAAGGGACCCUCAGUACUACUCCUAACAGCUUCCCAAAACACCAGACCCAGCUGAGUACUUGGUGCUCUUGCACCAGUCCCUCUUCCCAUAUUUUGUCUUUGCCCUAAGCUAAGGGCUGCUGGGACAAGAUAAUACCAUGUGACAAACUCAGGGAUACUGGACAGCACAGCAUGGGAUUAAUCUCACCUCACCCUGCCACACACCCCUGAAACUAAGCUGCCUUCCACAACAGGACAGCCAAGUUCGCCCCUCCAGACCACCCCAAGCUGUGUACACUGCUUUUCCAGUUAGCAGUCAGGCUUUUUGCUACCCCCAAAGCCUAUCACAGCCAAAGCAGAACAAGGACAUUACCCAGGCAUCAGCUGUGCAGGUCAAGAAGAGACAGCCACCCUCUUAGAAUCAUACAAUAUCUGAACUAUGAGCCCCCCCAAAAGCCAACACCAAGGCGAGGUCUGAAGCAAUGCUCAUGAAGAACACAGUCUAAACCUGUUCCUUCCACACCAGUGUGUUCUGAAAGAGUCAUGGGAGCUUUUUUUGUACUAUUUCCAACCUCAUUUCUCUUCCUGCUUGGCAGCUACAUGAUGGCUUACUGUUAUGCCUCUAGUGCUGCUAGCCUUUACUGAAACUCAAAAGCCAUGAGAACUAUUGAACUACAGAGUGGUUUUCAUCACUGGUAAAAUGAACAGUAUUUUCCUGG
ensembl:lncRNA